GAUGAACGCUGGCGGCGUGCUUAACACAUGCAAGUCGAACGAAGCAUUUAAGACAGAUUACUUCGGUUUGAAGUCUAUUAUGACUGAGUGGCGGACGGGUGAGUAACGCGUGGGUAACCUGCCUCAUACAGGGGGAUAGCAGCUGGAAACGGCUGGUAAUACCGCAUAAGCGCACAGUACCACAUGGUACAGUGUGAAAAACUCCGGUGGUAUGAGAUGGACCCGCGUCUGAUUAGCUUGUUGGCGGGGUAACGGCCCACCAAGGCGACGAUCAGUAGCCGACCUGAGAGGGUGACCGGCCACAUUGGGACUGAGACACGGCCCAGACUCCUACGGGAGGCAGCAGUGGGGAAUAUUGCACAAUGGAGGAAACUCUGAUGCAGCGACGCCGCGUGAGUGAAGAAGUAGUUCGCUAUGUAAAGCUCUAUCAGCAGGGAAGAUAGUGACGGUACCUGACUAAGAAGCUCCGGCUAAAUACGUG
rnacentral:rRNA from 1 species